UGUAAGCGUAUACCAAAGUUGUUGCAGUUAAAACGCUCGUAGUCGGAAUUUGGCAGUUCCGGAAGUGUGCACGUCGUGUGCGCACUUUGCGGGGACUGCUUUUGUGGUCUUGCGUAGGAUGAGGCACUUUUAUUAGUGAACGUCCUCACGCAACCACUUUUUACUGUGAGAAAAUCAGAGUGCUCAAAGCAGGCAUUUGCCGUGAAUGUAUUGGCAUGGAAUAAUAGAAUAGGACUUGGUUCUAUUUUGUUGGUUUGUUGGGACUGAGUAAUGAUUAAGAGGGACAGUUGGGGGCAUUUGUAUUUCGGUGCUAGAGGUGAAAUUCUUAGAUUACCGAAAGACAAACUGCUGCGAAAGCGUCUGCCAAGGAUGUUUUCAUUGA
rnacentral:rRNA from 1 species